GCUGUUCGCCAUUUAAAGUGGUACGCGAGCUGGGUUUAGAACGUCGUGAGACAGUUCGGUCCCUAUCUGCCGUGGGCGCUGGAGAACUGAGGGGGGCUGCUCCUAGUACGAGAGGACCGGAGUGGACGCAUCACUGGUGUUCGGGUUGUCAUGCCAAUGGCACUGCCCGGUAGCUAAAUGCGGAAGAGAUAAGUGCUGAAAGCAUCUAAGCACGAAACUUGCCCCGAGAUGAGUUCUCCCUGAGACUUWARGUCUCCUGAAGGAACGUUGAAGACGACGACGUUGAUAGGCCGGGUGUGUAAGCGCAGCGAUGCGUUGAGCUAACCGGUACUAAUGAACCGUGAGGCUUAACCUU
rnacentral:rRNA from 1 species